CCUCCCUCCCUCUUACCAAGCUCACUGAGGUUUUGGUUGAUGUACAUGCAGACCCCAACUUUCUGGUGGCAUAUGGAUCAAUUAGUCUGUAACAGGAAUGGUUCUCGAUUCAAUUUUUGUCAUGUUGGGAUCAUAGUUAGUGUCGAAUUUUGUAAAUCUGGAGGAAUUCUAGGCUAUUUAUUACAAAAGCUUU